rnacentral:rRNA from 1 species
UACGUAGGGGGCAAGCGUUGGUCCGGAUUUAUUGGGCGUAAGGAGCGUGUAGGCGGCCAAGCAGGUCGCUGUGAAACUCGAGGCUCAACCUCGAGACGUCGGUGGAAACCGUCUGGCUAGAGUCCGGAAGAGGAGAGUGGAAUUCCCGGUGUAGCGGUGGAAUGACGUAGAGGAUCCGGAAGAACACCGGUGGCGAAGGCGGCCCGCUGGGCUGUUGCUGACGCUGAGGCGCGACAGCGUGGGGAGCAAACAGG